AGGAGAAAGGGAACCCUUUGAGGGCAGAUCCAUGAAAGUGAAGGAAAAACCAGCUAGAUGAGAGAGAAAGGGAUGAUGGAAAGAAGGAUAAGAGGGGGAGAAGGUCCAGAGGAAAGGACAGACUCCAGUUCAUUGGACAACUCAAGACUUUAGACGGCUAAAAGCUGAGCCUAACUUGAUGACCUUUAUCUUUUUAAAUAUUGUUCUGACCAGAUAAUUAGGAAAUGUGUUCCUAAUGAUGAGAUUUCUGCAAUUCUGUACUUUUGCCAUUCUAAGACUUGUGGAGGACAUUUUUUAACCAAUAAAACAGUAGCCAAAAUAUUACAAAGUGGUUUCUAUUGGCCAACCAGGUCCAAAGAUGCCUAUAGUUUUUGUAAGACUUGUGAACCUUGUCAAAAACUAGAAGGAAUAAUAGGAGAAAUAUGAUGCCAAUGCAACCCAUUUUAGAAAUAGAGAUUUUUUACUGCUGGGGAAUAGAUUUUACGGGGUCAUUUCCUUCAUCUUUUGGUUACCUGUAUAUUUUGCUUGUUGUUGACUAUGUUUCUAAAUGGGUUGAGGCAAUCCCAUGUAGAAAUGGUGAUCAUCAAGUUGUUUUGAGAUUUUUAUAGGAAAAUAUUUUUGCAAGGUUUGGUAUGCAUAAAGCCAUAAUCAAUGAUAAUGGCACCCGUUUUUGUAACAAGCCCUUCUUAGCUUUAAUGAAAAAAUAUGGGAUUCAUCAUAAGGUUUCCACACCUUAUCACCCUCAUACAAAUGGGCAAGCUGAAUUAGCGAAUAGGGAACUAAAACACAUUCUUGAAAAACCUGUCAACCCUAACAAGAAAGAUUUGUCUUUGAGGUUGUCUGAUGCUCUUUGGGUCUAUUGUACUGCUUAUAAAACAAUUUUAGGUGUGUCACCUUAUAGAUUGGUGUAUGGAAAAGUGUGUCAUGUAAUAGUGGAUUUAGAACAUAGAGCAUAUUGGGCUAUUGAAUAGUUUAUAACUUUCACACUGACCAAGCUGGUUAGACAAGGAAAUUGCAGAUUGCUAAGCUAGAAGAACUUAGAAGGGAUGCAUAUGACAAUUCUAAAUUUUCCAAGGAACGUAUGAAACACUUUCAUGAUAAACAUAUUCAAAGGAAGUCCUUCCCACCAAACCAGCAAGUUCUUUUAUAUAGCUCUCGUCUCCACUUGUUCCCUAGAAAGUGGAAAUCUCAAUGGAAUGGCCCCUACUUGGUAGAAUCUAUCUUUCCACAUGGAGCUGUGGAACUCAUAAAUCCUCAUAAUGGAAACACUUUGAAAGUCAAUGGUCAAAAACUCAAACCUUUCCUUUCUACUUUCUCAUCUGAGGCGUCUACUUUGAGCUUUCUUGAUCCCAUUACUUUUUCAGAUGAUUAUGUUUUCAUUAAGUUUUUUUUAUUUUUUUAUUUUUAUUUUUUGCAGCACAAAUAAUUCUUUCCUUUACAAAGUUUCCUUUCUAUUGUUAUAUUUUUCCUCAUCAUUCAACCUCACUCAGGUAUCAUGGCCCAAGGCCACACGGUAGUAUCUAGGCCCACCUUGGCCCAACACUCUCACAAGCCUUAAGCCUUGAACCAUGCAACAUAAGGGACUUAGAGAGUCCAUGUGAAGCUUUAAGGGAGAUGCAGAGUGGAGAAAGGGCCUUUCGAGGAUAGAUCCAUGAGAGUGGAGGAAGAAUCAGUUAGAUGAGAGAGAAAGAUAAAUGGGGGAGAAGGUCCAGAGGAAAGGAGACUCGAUUUUUGGCAAAUUUUAGGGUUUUAUUUUGUUGUUUUGUUGAAUCUUCUAUCAAUAACUUUUAGGGUUCUUGCUGACCUUUGUAAUCAUCAUCAAGAUGAUGAUUCAAGGCUAGAUCUAAAACUUGGGUUGUCGGUGAAGGGUUUUGUUUACCUUGAUAUGUGUCUAGUAUCUUUGAUUUUUCUGUUCAUUUUCUUCUUUACACUAGUAUCCAUGACUUGCUGUAUGGUUUCUUGAAGAUUUCUUGUUCUUGACCUGUUAUA